CAGGACGAACGCUGGCGGCGCGCCUAACACAUGCAAGUCGAACGAGCGAGAGAGAGCUUGCUUUCUCGAGCGAGUGGCGAACGGGUGAGUAACGCGUGAGGAACCUGCCUCAAAGAGGGGGACAACAGUUGGAAACGACUGCUAAUACCGCAUAAGCCCACGGGUCGGCAUCGACCAGAGGGAAAAGGAGCAAUCCGCUUUGAGAUGGCCUCGCGUCCGAUUAGCUGGUUGGUGAGGUAACGGCCCACCAAGGCGACGAUCGGUAGCCGGACUGAGAGGUUGAACGGCCACAUUGGGACUGAGACACGGCCCAGACUCCUACGGGAGGCAGCAGUGGGGAAUAUUGCACAAUGGGGGAAACCCUGAUGCAGCGACGCCGCGUGGAGGAAGAAGGUCUUCGGAUUGUAAACUCCUGUUGUUGAGGAAGAUAAUGACGGUACUCAACAAGGAAGUGACGGCUAACUACGUGCCAGCAGCCGCGGUAAAACGUAGGUCACAAGCGUUGUCCGGAAUUACUGGGUGUAAAGGGAGCGCAGGCGGGAAGACAAGUUGGAAGUGAAAUCCAUGGGCUCAACCCAUGAACUGCUUUCAAAACUGUUUUUCUUGAGUAGUGCAGAGGUAGGCGGAAUUCCCGGUGUAGCGGUGGAAUGCGUAGAUAUCGGGAGGAACACCAGUGGCGAAGGCGGCCUACUGGGCACCAACUGACGCUGAGGCUCGAAAGUGUGGGUAGCAAACAGGAUUAGAUACCCUGGUAGUCCACACCGUAAACGAUGAUUACUAGGUGUUGGAGGAUUGACCCCUUCAGUGCCGCAGUUAACACAAUAAGUAAUCCACCUGGGGAGUACGACCGCAAGGUUGAAACUCAAAGGAAUUGACG
rnacentral:rRNA from 1 species